AAGCAACCCAGAGCCCUCCUCCCGCCUGCUCUGUGUAGGAGACAGCCUGCGGAGCCCACUGCCGGCGCGCAGAGAGCCCAGCAGCUCUUGAGUCCAGGAAGCAAGGGUGGGAGGAGGGACGAGCCAGUGGCAAUGACCCAGACCCGGACGACCCCCAUUGCUGAGCCAGCGGAGCUGCUUGGAGGCAGAGGUUGCAGUGAGCUGAGAUUUUGCGACUACACUCCAACCUGGGCAACAGAGCGGGACUCCAUUCCAAAAAAAUAAGAAAAACAGAAAAAUAAUAAUUACAUCUGCAAAGACCUUAUUUCCAGGGUCCACGAGGCUGGUGUCAGACCUAUUGGGAGACCCUCUGCGUUAGUGAGAAAAACGGCAAGAAAUGGGAGCACGCGGAAACCUCCAAGACUAGAGCCACCAGAUGCCACCGACAGCACGCAGCUGGACCAGCACGGGGGAGGGCCUUCGUGGGUCGAGAGCUCGCUCGGGAGAUAGUUGGUGCUUUUCUUUCAGGAGAAGAAUCCCUGGCGGAGUCUGACCGUUCUCUGGCGCACAGCCCCGGGGGUGGGCACAGCAGCCGCCCCUGCUGAAGGGACUGACGCCUCCGACGACCAGCAGCCAAGUUAAACGCACUGUUCCGUGAGCAGCUUUGUUGGAGACAGCGCGGUUCACAUUCUCUUCCAACGGAGCCGCUGACUGCGGAGCUGGGAGGGGACGUGACAGAACCCAGCCAUCCAACGUCCCCCCACCCCUCCCCAGCUGGGACCUCCGGCUGCUUCCGGGCUGCGCUGGGUGGCGUCAAGGAGCCGCCCCUCUGGGCCGCGUCCCUCCCUCACGCCCUGCACACUGGCCCUGUGUGGCCGGCGGGGCGCCUAAAAGGGCGGAAGGAUGCAGGGGCGGAGGGGGCUCGGGAUUGCACGCCUAGCUCAGACCCCCCAGCCAGGACCCCUCGCGCUGUUGGACACGCCAGCCUCCCGACCCUGCGGCUCCUACGGGAGGUGACAAGGACCCUGCCAACCUGGCCUGAAUGGCCCAGUUUGAUACAGAUCAGGUUUUCAAUGAAUGAGACCGCGGUGUGGUCUAGGCGGAGGGAUGAGAGGAGGGGAUUCUGCUGGGAUAAGUGGGGGCGGGGUAAGGAGGGGAUUCUUUUCCUGGGCUGAGGAGAACGCAGGGACAAAGUACACAGGGGUAGUUGAGUGAGCAGGUGAGGCCCUAGGCUGGUUCCCCACCUUCUCAGGAUCGGAGCCACUCACUUCCUGGUACUCUCUGCAGUCUCCUGGCGUUAAAUAACAUCCCUUUGCUGGAGACUCUGGAUUCACAUCCAUAAUCGCAGCCUCCCCUACUCAUCCCCUCACGCUUCCCAUGAACUAACCUUGAAGGACCCGACCAGAGCCCUGACCUCCGUCCCACACACCUGCUACAUGGAAGGUGUUCUCCACAUCAGUUCAAGGCAGUGUCACUCUUCAGGAUGUUCAGGCUCUAAACCUUGGACUCCUCCUCCAGAUUUCUCUCUCCUUCCUUCUCCUUGUCUCUCCCUUGCACUUACGGUUCACUUUUCCUUCGUAGCUUUGUAGCUCAUUCCCCCUUCCACUUUCCACACCACCUUCUGGUCUGUUAAUUAAAUAUUACCUGGUUUCCACUGACACCUUCCCUGGGUUCCCAAUUGAAAAUCACAACAUCAUCCUCCUCCUCUGCUUUUUUUCUCCAAAUUAUAUCCUCACCCAAUUAUGUGUUAUUCUCAUUAAUCUUGCUUAAUUAAUUAGCAGACAUUAUUAAUGCCUGUUUCCCCUAUCACCACCACUAGACUAUGAACUCCUAAGGACUCCUUCCUUCCACCACUGUUGUACUCGCUUCACCUAGAACUGCUUGGCACAUACAAUGUGCUCCAUAAAUAUUUGUUGAAUGAAAGACUAGACACAACUUAGGAUUCACUCCCCCAUGUGGCAUCCAUAAGCCCUGUAUGCAGGUAAAAUGUCAGUGGGUUGACUAAAUACUGGAAGUGGAAAAAACUUCACCUCUUUGGUUUGCAGUUGUCUAGGAUAUUUAGGCCAAUGGAAAAUCCAGUUUUCCUUAGAAUUAAGCCAGUGCCGCCAGACUUGCCAGUUUACCAUGCUUGUCUGACUGGUCCUCAGCAUGGGUCAUACGUGUCCAAUGAAUUCAAACAAAAUCUUGAGAAGACACGAACCUUGCCCUUCGGCUGGGCGCGGUGGCUCACGCCUGUAAUCCCAGCACUUUGGGAGGCCGAGGCAGGCGGAUCACGAGGUCAGGAGAUCGAGACCAUCCUGGCUAACAUGGUGAAACCCCGUCUCUACUAAAAAUACAAAAAAUUAGCCGAGCGUGGUGGCGGGCGCCUGUAGUCCCAGCUACUCAGGAGGCUGAGGCAGGAGAAUGGCGUGAACCCGGGAGGCGGAGCUUGCAGUGAGUGAGCCGAGAUCGCACCCCUGCACUCCAGCCUGGGCGACAGAGCGAGACUCCGUAAAAAAACAAAAAAAAAACCUUGCCCUUCAUUCCCCAUUUCUAUCAUAAUCUACACAGAGUUUUGAACAGGCAUUUUAAAAUCAACAAUAUAUUAUUUACAAUUUUGUUAGUAUACAUAACUCUAACUCACUGUUAAAAAUCACCUGUCUUUAUAUCCAUUAAAUGACACUUGCAUAUGCUCCAA
rnacentral:lncRNA from 1 species